AUACUUACCUGGCAAUGGUGAUUCCAUGCUCACGAAGGUGGUUUCCCCAGGGCAAGGCUUAUCCAUUGCACUCUGGAUGGGCUGACCCCUGCGAUUUCCCCAAGUGCGGGAAACUCGGCUGCAUAAUUUAUGGUAGUGGGGGACUGCGUUCGCGCUCUCCCCUG
rnacentral:snRNA from 1 species